rnacentral:rRNA from 1 species
UACGUAGGUCCCGAGCGUUGUCCGGAUUUAUUGGGCGUAAAGCGAGCGCAGGUGGUUUAUUAAGUCUGGUGUAAAAGGCAGUGGCUCAACCAUUGUAUGCAUUGGAAACUGGUAGACUUAAGUGCAGGAGAGGAGAGUGGAAUUCCAUGUGUAGCGGUGAAAUGCAUAGAUAUAUGGAGGAACACCGGUGGCGAAAGCGGCUCUCUGGCCUGUAACUGACACUGAGGCUCGAAAGCGUGGGGAGCAAACAGG